rnacentral:rRNA from 1 species
CGGAGGGUGCAAGCGUUAUCCGGAUUUAUUGGGUUUAAAGGUCCGUAGGCGGACUUGUAAGUCAGUGGUGAAAUACUCAUAGCUUAACUAUGAAACUGCCAUUGAUACUGCAGGUCUUGAGUAAAAUUUGAAGUGGCUGGAAUAAGUAGUGUAGCGGUGAAAUGCAUAGAUAUUACUUAGAACACCAAUUGCGAAGGCAGGUCACUAAGAUUUAACUGACGCUGAUGGACGAAAGACGUGGGGGAGCGAACAGGAUU